rnacentral:rRNA from 1 species
GGAUCAAUACGUCGGUCGUGCUUUCGGGUACGUACUGGCGUCAUUGGUUUCUCCUUUCUGACGAACCAUGAUGUCAUUAAUUUGGUGUUAUGGGGAGUUAGGACUGUUACUUUGAAAAAAUUAGAGUGUUUAAAGCAGGCAUUAGCUUGAAUACAUUAGCAUGGAAUAAUGAAAUAGGACGUUCGAUCCUAUUUUGUUGGUUUCUAGGAUCAACGUAAUGAUUAAUAGGG